GUGGGGUCAGGGGCUGAGCAGCCACGGUAUAGAUGGUGUUGUUGUNCNUUGGGGUAACGUGGGGGGUGUGUGUGCUGGGAGUGCCAGUGAUGGGGAUAACGUUGGAUUGCUGUAUACCGUAUACGCCUACGGGGGAGGGUGGGCCUUCGGGCUNGCNGGUUGGUAUGCCCGGGUGGGUUUAGCUUGUUUNGUGUGGGGUAAGUGCNCUCACCACGNGCACCAUNCCCUAGGCUGNUUCUGAGCAGGGAUGAUCAGCCCACANGUGGAAACUGAACACACGUCCCCAAACUCCCUACGGGGAGGACACCACGGGGGGAAAUAUUGCANAAUGGNGCAAACCUUAUGCACCCAAUANCGGGGGUGGUGUAAAGCGAAAGGGCCUUUCGGGGGUUGUAAAACCCACUUUNUCAAGCGAGAGCGAAGGGAAAAGGUCAGAAACCCUAAAUAAUCUUGCUUGGGGUUUUUUACCAUGUUUCCNUCGCAAGAACACAAACACGCNCCCGGCUUAAACCUUCCGUUCCCCAAGCCAAGCCUCGGGCGGGGAAAAUAACGGGAGGGUGCCAANCCGUUUUAAUUCGGGAAAAUUAACAUUGGNCCGUUAAAAACGCCNACNCCGCGGGCGGGNUGUGGGCAUCACAUUAAAAAUUUUNAAAACCCCCCGGCCUCAAACCUGGGANAUUUNCACUUUAUAAAAAACUUUNUCCGGUAGAGUUUUUUGUAAAAGGGGGGGGGAAA
rnacentral:rRNA from 1 species